rnacentral:ncRNA from 1 species
UCAAACCCGAUGAUGGGAAAGGUAGCCAGUUAAUUUCUCAAAGAGAGCCGGUGGAUGGUGUAAAUCGGCAGAAAUACUGGUGAAAGGCGUCCCGAAGGGGGUUCCGCAGAACGAGAGUAUGCGGGCACGGUUGUGCCGUUACCACUGGUGAGGGGGAAGGAUUUAUCCUUCCAAAAAGGGUGGCACCGCGGGAGAAUUAACCUCUCGUCCCUGUA